rnacentral:rRNA from 1 species
CCUACGGGAGGCUGCAGUGAGGAAUAUUGGUCAAUGGGCGUAAGCCUGAACCAGCCAAGUCGCGUGAGGGAUGAAGGUUCUAUGGAUCGUAAACCUCUUUUAUAAGGGAAUAAAGUGCGGGACGUGUCCCGUUUUGUAUGUACCUUAUGAAUAAGGAUCGGCUAACUCCGUGCCAGCAGCCGCGGUAAUACGGAAGGCCCGAGCGUUAUCCGGAUUCAUUGGGCUUAAAGGGAGCGUAGGCGGGCGUUCAAGUCAGCUGUAAAAUCGCGCGGCUCAACCGCGCCCCGCAGUUGAAACUGGACGCCUUGAGUUCACAACAGGCAGGCGGAAUUCGUGGUGUAGCGGUGAAAUGCAUAGAUAUCACGAGGAACCCCGAUUGCGAAGGCAGCCUGCCGGGGUGCGACUGACGCUGAGGCUCGAAGGUGCGGGUAUCAAACAGGAUUAGAUACCCUAGUAGUC